AUUGAACGCUGGCGGCAGGCCUAACACAUGCAAGUCGAACGAGUGGCGGACGGGUGAGUAAUGUCUGGGAAACUGCCUGAUGGAGGGGGAUAACUACUGGAAACGGUAGCUAAUACCGCAUACCAUCAGAUGUGCCCAGAUGGGUUUAGCUUGUUGGUGGGGUAACGGCUCACCAAGGCGACGAUCCCUAGCUGGUCUGAGAGGAUGACAAGCCAAACGGGAACUGAGACAGGGUCCAGACUCCGACGGGAGGCAGCAGUGGGGAAUAUUGCACAAUGGGAGCAAGCCGAAGACAGCCAGGCGGGGUGUAUGAAAAAGGCCUUCGGGUUGUAAAGUACUUUCAGCGGGGAGGCGUUACCCGCAGAAGAAGCACCGGCUAACUCCGUGCCAGCAGCCGCGGUAAUUC
rnacentral:rRNA from 1 species